UUAUCAAGAGAACAAGAAGAACAGUUGAUUGGCCAGUUAAAAGAGAAAAAUAGAAUUUUGGAGCCGGAUAUUUUAAAGUUUAAAGAGCGCCAAAAAGUGGUGGAAGAGCGGGAACUCAUUUUAAAAAAACGCAGCUGGGUCAUCUACGACAUUGCACGUGCUGAAUACAUUCAAGUGAAGAACCACAAAAAGGACUUGAGGUCUAAAAUUGCUCAGAAGCGUAGAGAAAAUGGGCCUUUAUUGGAAGAACUAGAAUCUGUGGCCUUAUUGGUUGAGGAAGCCACCAAAGAAAGAGAAAGAUUAUUUGAGCUGGCCAAUGACCAAUUAAAAUUAAUUAAAAACUCAGAAGAAACUUUGGAUAAACUUAUUGAAGCUAAAAUAGAAAUUGAGCACGACUUUGAG